CAGCAUGUUGGGAGCUGUAACCCAAGGGCGGUAGC
rnacentral:ncRNA from 1 species